UACGUAGGUGGCAAGUGUUGUCCGGAUUUACUGGGCGUAAAGAGCGCGCAGGCGGUCGUUCAAGUCGCGUGUGAAAGCCCCCGGCUCAAUUGGGGAGGGUCACGCGAUACUGAUCGACUCGAAGGCAGGAGAGGGUAGUGGAAUUCCCGGUGUAGUGGUGAAAUGCGUAGAUAUCGGGAGGAACACCAGUGGCGAAGGCGACUACCUGGCCUGUUCUUGACGCUGAGGCGCGAAAGCUAGGGGAGCAAACGGG
rnacentral:rRNA from 1 species